UACGUAGGGUGCAAGCGUUAAUCGGAAUUACUGGGCGUAAAGCGUGCGCAGGCGGUUUUGUAAGUCUGUCGUGAAAGCCCCGGGCUCAACCUGGGAAUUGCGAUGGAGACUGCAAGGCUUGAAUCUGGCAGAGGGGGUAGGAAUUCCACGUGUAGCAGUGAAAUGCGUAGAGAUGUGGAGGAACACCGAUGGCGAAGGCGGCCCCCGUCGGGUCGAACGA
rnacentral:rRNA from 1 species